rnacentral:lncRNA from 1 species
CCGCUCUCAAGCACCGAUGAGUUGAUCAGGCCAGGCUGGCAUCAACACCACAUCUUGGCACAAAGCAGCCAGUGGGGACACUCGCUCCUGGCAGGGCCCCGCCUAAAGGUGUAGGCGCAGCUGUCCUGGAAGCGCGAGGAACUGGAGAAAACGGGCAGGCUGAGUACACAACAGGGAGGCAGACCCAGGACACUGAGGAUGUCCCUGUCGCAGGAGGACACGUUUUCACAGAAGUGGAGCCAGCCUGAACGCUUUUCGUAGAAACGAGAGGGAUUUGCACUGAGGCUUGACACCUUCAGGGAUACCUUGUAAGAAUAACAGGACCUAAGGAAAAAAUGGAAAUUACCUAGAACCUGUUACCCUCCCCACAAAGAGGCUUCCAGGAGCUGCUCUGAAGGGCACUUGUGACCAGCACAGUCAUUCACGUGACAGUGGAGAGGGGUUGAUGAAACCAAAAGCAGGAAAAAACAGAAGAGCUGAAGCAUCAUUAAAUUCAUGAAGUCCCAUUUGCCUCUUAAGCUUUAGGUUGCAUGUUUCCAACCCAACUCAUGUGAAUUCAAAUCCAAUCAUCACUGCCAUCAAAUAGGGUUUACAAGCUGCUGCCUGUGCUUCCCAGUCCAGUCGCAGAGCCCAAUGCUAAGGCGGCACCUCCUCCCGGAGCCCGAGCCUUCACUUACCUUUUUGAGGAUCUGUUCCGUGCACUUGUGCUCCUCUUGAAUGCCAUCUCUGGAUCUCACAAAACAGGGGACAGGCAAGCUGUUCAUGGGCUUGACACAGGUAAUUCCUUCAUUGUUCCCUCUGGGGUUCCACUCGUCAAUCUUAAACCUUCACAGAGUUCCAGGAUCUGGCACCUGAGCUGGGGCCAAAGACCAGCUUGAAGGGGUCACAGCCCAGGUGUGUUUGAGAGACACCAUCAGGAUGCCAUAGGACGUCAGACCCGUGGGGAUCCAGAAGGGCUCUCAAAACAAGAAACAGACCCUCUGAAGCAGGCACAUGUGGGUGACAGCACUCACGCCAUCUCACAUGGAUGGCUGGCUCCCACGAGGCCCUCUGCCAAGCCAGGGGGCACCCACCACGCUGCCAGGUGCAUCCUCAGUAAGACUUAUGUGGACGUCCUCUGUAAUUGGGCAAAGAAAUGGAGCUGAGUGCCCCUCACCAAGCUGAAGGACUGAGGGCAAAGGUUAGCUCAAUCACCCAUAAAAGACAAGGGUUGGCAUGACAACUGGCUGGUAUCUGGGGAAACUCGUGGGCAUCUCACCUCUACAAACAAACAGCGGUUUCAUUCCUCAUGCAUUGCAUUGAAGGUGUUCAAAGAAAGGGGGACAGAGGAGGUCCCAGGAGGCGCCACCAUCACCUAGGAGAGCUCCACUCCAGCGGUGGGUCUGCAUGCACCUAAUCGAGGGAGCUGCGCCCUGCUCACAAACUUAGCAAGGUGCACAGGGAAAGCUAGGGUGCAGACUCGGGAUGUCGCAUCUGAGCCUGUCUA